GAGAGGCAAAGGGAAGCAUCCCGCCAUGGAUGAGGAACGGAGCUUGAUGUGGAUCGCCGGGAGCAGCGCCGCCUCACCGACCAUGGUGGCCCUCAACGUCAAGAACAAGUACACCUACAGUUGUAGGUCUAGCCGUUUGCUUGUGUGAUGCACAUGUUUGGAUUGGAGUUGGACAAGAACUUAUAUCUGGAAAAAAUUGCUUCAGGUUUCAAGGUUAUCCCAUAUCAACGAUAGCAACUCAAGUUGUUUCAAGGUUCUGCACUAAUAAGAAUGAGGUAAGAUGAGACAAGUAUUUUGGUUUUGAUGGAGAGAUGAAAAUUCCCGCAUGUUUACUUUUGAAGGAGAAAGGUGAGGAAUGUAUUUUAGUUUUCAAACUGAAGCUCAAAUAUGUGUCUCUUUGGACAACUUUUUUGUUAUAUUUGCAUGUAUUGUCGCAUAUUUAAGUCUCUCCUGGUUUGAAAACUACAAAAUGAAAAUAAUGAGUUUACUGUUUGAUGUUUGAAUUUAUUGGGACCUGUAAUUUGUGAGCUGGUUUGUAUUUAGUCGGUAUUACUUAUCUUUAUGCUUACAUGGCUACUAAUUUUUGAAUUGUUCAGCAGUUUUCUUAGAUCAAAUAGUUACCUGUUUCCAACAUCGCGCCUCCAGAGAGCAGAGGGAAGCUUGAAGGUGCUUUAGGUUAUAUCGACGAUGAUUCAUAUGGUCAUGUGUAUGUUCAGAGGACGAUCCUGAUGAACAUGCUGAAAAAACACGCUUGCCUCUCCACCAGGAAAACACUUGUAGUCACCAAAGAGAGGCAAGGAAACAGAGCCGAGGAGAGACACCACUGAUUCCUA